UACGUAGGGUGCAAGCGUUGUCCGGAAUUAUUGGGCGUAAAGAGCUCGUAGGCGGUUUGUCGCGUCUGCUGUGAAAUCUGGGGGCUCAACCCCCAGCCUGCAGUGGGUACGGGCAGACUAGAGUGCGGUAGGGGAGAUUGGAAUUCCUGGUGUAGCGGUGGAAUGCGCAGAUAUCAGGAGGACACCGAUGGCGAAGGCAGAUCUCUGGGCCGUAACUGACGCUGAGGAGCGAAAGCAUGGGGAGCGAACAGG
rnacentral:rRNA from 1 species